rnacentral:rRNA from 1 species
UAAGGAAUAUUGGUCAAUGGACGCAAGUCUGAACCAGCCAUGCCGCGUGAAGGAUGAAGGUCCUCUGGAUUGUAAACUUCUUUUAUCUGGGACGAAAACGGGAUUUUUAUCUCAAUUGACGGUACCAGAGGAAUAAGCACCGGCUAACUCCGUGCCAGCAGCCGCGGUAAUACGGAGGGUGCGAGCGUUAUCCGGAUUUACUGGGUUUAAAGGGUGCGUAGGUGGGCUUAUAAGUCAGUGGUGAAAUCUCCGAGCUUAACUUGGAAACUGCCGUUGAUACUAUAGGUCUUGAAUUAUCUGGAGGUAAGCGGAAUAUGUCAUGUAGCGGUGAAAUGCUUAGAUAUGACAUAGAACACCAAUUGCGAAGGCAGCUUACUACAUAUAAAUUGACGCUGAGGCGCGAAAGCGUGGGGAUCAAACA